rnacentral:lncRNA from 1 species
AGAGAUAUCAAGCGGAAGUCUGUUUGUGUGACUCUGCCUGUAUGUUGUCAAGUUGCAAAUAGCCUAGUUUUAUCAGUUGUUGCUUGAUGAGAGACCAACUAGUUUAUGCCUGACAUUUGUGACUCUACAUUUAAUGCAGUACAAUCGAGAGCUCACGGCAUCAGGUACGCUUUAGAUACAAAAACUCUCGCUCAGUUUAGUUCCCGUGUAGUGUUAAAUUCUGGUGAACUAUAUUCGUUACAAAUGGUAAGCUAAAGCAGAUUUAAAAAGAUGAUAAAUUUGCUCAAACCACGUUCAGUUUCAAAACUGACCUGAAGCUGCACUCAUUGGCCCUAUGGAUCCUCUCUUUUAAAGAAUCUACCUGUUUGUUGCCAUUUUGUGGGACUUAUAGGAAGAAGACAUGAGGUGGAGUACUUCUUAAGAUAAUCCUACUCAAUGCAUACUAGAAAUUGCUAUUCGAAAAAGUUGUUCUGAAGUGACUCUUCAGGGCUUGGGAGGUUGUCAAUUUUUGUGUACAUGUUACUGUUGUAUACUACUAAUACAAAUUUUGUAGUCUACAAGGGAUCUGCAGUACUUUCAUAGUAGCGAAUAAAGAAUGAAUCAAAUGGGAUUGAUUUACUAGGUGUAGUUGAUUUUUCAGUUUUGACACACACUUAUCUAUUUACAUAAUGUGGUUAUAUGUUUCAUUUUGUGGCUAACCACGUGAAAGUAUGUAGGUUCAAACCGAUGCUGUGGCCAACACAGAUAGUAGCAGUCAAGACAAUGACUUUUUGGACGAAGAAGAGUGACUUCAUGCAAGGUACUAACUUGAUUCAUGAGGACUGCUACCAUAUGCGCACAGAGUUGUUCAAGAUUUUUUUUGAAGGUUGAACAUUUCUCUUGGGAAGCAAAUGUUGUGGCCCAUGAGCUUGCUAGGGAAACCAAAUUUACUUGUCCUUGAAUUUUGUUGGAUAAUCCACCUAAAUAGCAUGUACCUUUAUUAGUUAAUGAUGUAACAAUCAUUGAGUAAUAGAAAUAUUUUUUUUGUAAAAAUAAACUUAUUACUGGCAUAGUGAUUUUGCGAAUUGAUGGUUGAACUGAAUACUUCAAUUUUUCCUUUCGGUCUUUCCUCCUUGUGUCGAUCGCCUAGCAGAUAUUUGUCUUACCUAACCUUUUGAUGAAAUCAGGAAAUGAGUUCCAAUAUUGGUGUGACGAGUCCCUUGACUGAAGAAGGAGGAUGACAUCAAGGGAGGCAUGAGCCGGCAGUGGCAGCAUGAGCCAUCACGACGCAUCGUUGGGAGGCUCCGGGCGGGGGGCAUGAGAGGUGUGACACAAGUGAGGAGGCGAACAAGGGAAGAUGAGUAGAUCGAGAUGGAUCAUACAAGGAUGAAGGGAUGUUAUAGAGCCGUUAGCCGACGGUGCUAAUUUCCUGUGUGUGUCGAUCUCGGUUGCCAUGCAGUAAAUGAAGAGUGCGUGUAUGCCUGUGGCACCCUCCAUUUUCAUAUUUGGAGUCCACACAGGCUGGGUGGCCGAGGGGAAGAGUGAGCGAUUUUUUUAUUCCGCUUUUUUUGCCUGAGUAGGUGUCUGUGAGGACUCCUUCCCCUUGGUGAUUUUGGUGAUGGUGGUGAGAUGGUGGAUUCUUUUUUUGCGGGAUCGUGUAAUAUACAUAGAAAUUUUUUCUGAACUUCUAUUUUACAUGUGAUGAUUCAUAAUUCCAUAUAGGCAUCAGGGGUUGGGUCGUUGCAUGCAGAAUAUGACCAUAUUCAUAUCUUUUUAAAACAUAUACCCCCUUCGUUCUUAAAUAUAAGUCUUCUUAAAAAUUUAAAUAUGAA